AGAGACAGUUAUACAGAGAGAGCGUCCUCCUACCAGUCCACUCCCUAGAUGAUCACAGUCACUGGGACUGGACUGGGGCUAAAGUCAGGAGCUGGAAGAUCAGUCCAGACCGCCCUUGUGGAUGCAGAAGCCAUCACUUCUGCCUCCCAGAGCUGCCUUAGCAGGAAGCCAGAGCCAGGAGCUGACUGUCGGUACUGAAUCCAGGUACUCCAAUAUGUGAAGCAGGUAUCUUAAUUGGCAUCUUAACUACUAGACUAAAUGCCAGUCCUGCUAUAUCCUUUUGAUUAAAUGACUCCUCUGUUUUUAUAUAAUGACCUUCUAAUUCUUGGUUUGCAGUUUUUGCCUCAAAGCCUACUUUAUCUGAUAGAAAUAUAGCUGCUUCUGCAUUUUUGGUUUAUUUCAGUAUACUGGUUAGUGAAACACAUGUAUGGAAUAUAAAUGGGAAUUAUAACUAAAGCAUGCAUAAUCUAUCUUUUGCAUAUUAUAUUUUUGUUAGUAGAAUUUUACUUAAUAAAAGUAUUUCCUUCAGUGAUGUUAUAAUACAUACUUUGUUAGAAGUCUGUGAAAUACCUUCAGGAUAGUUUGUAAAGUACUAACGCACUAACCAUGAAAACCUAUAGUGGAUGCUAAUGAGACACAUUGUUUUACUAUUUUUUAUUUUUUAUUUAUGUAUUGAAUUUAAAGAAAAUUUGCUAAUCUAGAAAUAAACUUCAUAUAGUUGGUAUGUAUUAGUAGGAACACAGUUAUAUUGUUAAAAGAAUUAUUGCUGUUAUUCAGAUGAUAAUGUUGGCUUUCCUUUAAAUGUGGUUUCCAUUCUUGCAUUCUUUUGAGAAAGCUUACUGAGUACCAGGUAUUGACAGUGAAUGUUGUAGAUGUGUUGUUUUUCUGACCAGUGGAAAAUGAAAAUCACUGUGACUUUGUUAAGCUCCGGGAUAUGCUUCUUCCUACCAAUAUGGAAGACCUGAAAGAACAGACACACACUCAGCACUAUGAACGUUUCAGGUACUUCAAACUGCAGUCAAUGGGUUUCACUGAUGUGGGCCCGGACAACCAGACAGUUAGCUGUUCUGCCGCACUGUGCUUUGAGUCACAACUGCACAUUGAUGUCCCAGUUACACGACAAGUUUGAGAACGUGAAGAGGAUUCAACACAAGGAGGUGAUAAAGCUUGAAGAAGAGAAAAGACAACUGGAAGAAGACAUAGUAGAUCUUUAUAAAAUGAAGGCUACUUCUGAAACAUUUCAGCCGCCUAUGUGCACCAAUGUAAAAAAGGACAAAGGUCAUAAGAAAUAGUUUUUUCUGGGGUGAGCAUUUGGCACAGUGGUUAAGACAUCAGUUAGGAAACCCGCAUUCCAUACCAGAGUGCUUGGGUUUGAGUCUGAGAUCAGUUUUUUUCUUAAUUAAUUUAUUUUAAAGGCAGAGAGAGUGAGCUUCCAUCUGCUGGUUCACCCCUUAAAUGGUUGCAAAGGCCAGGACUGGGUCAGGCUGAAGCCAGGAGCCAGGAGCUUCAUACUGGGGUCCCACAUGGGUGGCAGAGGUCCAAGUACUUGGGACAUUGUAGUCUUCCCAGGCACAUUAACAGGAAGCCGGGUUGGAAGUGGAACAGCUGGGACUUGAACCAUCACUUGAUAUGGGAUGCUGGCAUCACAAGUGUUGGCUUAACUCACUGCACCACAACACAAGCCCUGCAAUUCCAUUUUCAUUCCCACAUCCUGGUAAUGGGUACCCUGGGAGGUACUUUGUGAUGGCUACAGUACUUGGGUCCCUGUCAACCCAUGUCGGAGAACCUGGCUGGAGUUCCAGGCUUUGGCCUGGCCCAACACCAGUGGUUGUAGGCAGUUGAGGAGUGAAUGAGCAGAUGGAAAAUCUCUCUCUUCCUGUCUCUGCACCUGUCUCUCUCUGGCUUUUAAAUAAAUACAUGAAUACAAAUUUAAAAUAGUCUUUU
rnacentral:lncRNA from 1 species